UACGCAGGGUGCGAGCGUUGCCCGGAUUUAUUGGGCGUAAAGGGCGCGUAGGCGGCCACGCACGUCCGUUGUGAAAUCGCCCGGCUCAACUGGGCGGGGUCGGCGGAUACGGCGUGGCUGGAGCAAGCUAGGGGGCAAUGGAAUUCCCGGUGUAGUGGUGGAAUGCGUAGAUAUCGGGAGGAACACCAGUGGCGAAGGCGGUUGCCUGGAGCUUUGCUGACGCUGAGGCGCGAAAGCGUGGGGAGCGAUCCGG
rnacentral:rRNA from 1 species